rnacentral:lncRNA from 1 species
GGAGGUUCUUUCCUAUUCGUACUUCGUCCCGCCCGAGGGCCACUUGGGUCGUGUGGGAUGCCGGUUCGGGUCUUGCCGUGCGUUCCCGCAUCGAGUGGGGUAGGCCUUCGUCCGACGUCAUUACUUCACCGACCGAAUUGAAGUAGCAUUCGCGCGCCUUCUUCUGGGAUCCCCGGACCGUACACACCCCUGCCUCGGUUGGGAACUUGAGGCACUGAUGGAGUGAUGACAUCAC